UUAUGUAUGCAAGAGGGCCUGGUCCUUUCCUAGGUUUGCCUUGCAAGCUGUACCCCAUGGAUCACCCUUCAUCACCAGUCAUGGGCUAUGGACCACCUCCAGCUCCUCCAAGACUCAAUUUGGAGAAUUUGAAGUUUGAAGAGGACCCUGAACUGCGACAAAUGGGCUGUGGUCAUGAGAAGGAAAAGAUUUCUUUGUGUCCCAGGCCCUGUCACUAAGACCUUUCCCAGUCUGGAGAACAGGCCAACUGGACCAACGGCAUCCUCAGUACCUCCAGCUGAGCUGCCAUGGCCUUGCGCAUUGCAGGAAUUCCGGCAGCCGGUAGAGGGCGCAUGCGCGCGCGUGCGCAACUCGCCCAGGGAGGGUCUGGUCUUCUGCGUGCUCAGUGAUGGCGGUAGAAGGCGCUUGUUAGGUUUUUCUGAUCCAGUGUGCCUCAGAUCUGGAAAGGCUUCCUUGCUUCUGAGGUCCCAGUGCCUCUGAGUGUGGGCAAAGAGCCAGAGCUGCGUUUCCAGCAGGUUCCACCCCAGGCGGGGGGACACCCUGGAGGCUUCCACCCACUUGGCAUCUCCUCAGUGGUGGGGCUGAGUAGUGAGGCAGGGGGCUGGGCGGCUUCCCCAGAAACGCGAGAUGGUCAGUGAGCGGCACAGUCCCUUGCAUUUUCUGGGGUGUUCUGUGGUUUGUUCCUCAUUUCCCCUGCCGCUUUGUGAACAAGAUGUAUUUCACUCAAGGAUCCGUGGAUUCAGGGGGUCCUGGGACGCCACGUCCGAGAGGCUGGGGUUGGUUUGUUCCAGGUUCAGGCUUGUUUUGGGGGAGAAAUCCUGACCCACAUUCUGAGGAACAGGAGCCACAUUCAGUUGGAAAGUGAAGAAGCCAAAUGUUGACUCUCAGGACCUUCUAGAAGAAUGAACUGGGAACCACUCUCCGGGUCCUGCCGGAACCAGAGCCCGAGCUGAAUCACCGGAUCCCUCUGUGACUGCUGCUGGUCAAAGGACAUACCAAGGCCACUUCUCAGUGUGGAUUCAUAGACCUGCCUGAGUUUUACAUUCACCACACAUACUUUCAAGGCUCCUUUCUGUCACUGUAAGAAAGAAGACAGACCUUGUGAUGCACAUGCAAGUUUCUGUAACUUCAAGAUUCGUUGUGUCAACGUGGCUGCCAGAGCAUUUCUUCCUUUCCCAGAAGUGCCCUCCAUGUUGUACCCUGUGGGCUGCCCUUUAUCACCAUCCAUGGGCUUUGGGCCACCCCCACCUUCUCCAAGCUGGUGACCUCUGGGACCUCACCCUCCACCUCCACCAUCUGGGAAGAUGAUCUGAACAGUAGGAGUUAACUUAGAAAACACGUUUUGUCUUUCUUCUUGUUGAGUCUUGGGAGAAGAUGCAGUGAUGGUACCACAUGGCUUUCAGUCUAUGCAAGUCAGAAUCACCUCCAUCCACCUCCAGCCUUUAUGAGACCCAGGACGUGGUACAGCUCCCAUGGGGAACAUCAGUUCUGUCUCUACCAAGGAUGCAGAGAAAGACAAGCCUCCAGGCUUCUCCAGUUUAAGAUCAUCAUGGUAGCUGGCACCUCUGGAAGCCACAAGUGCGUCGAGGCUGAGGACCACGUGGCUCUCACUUUGUGUUUGUGGAAAUAACUUGAGGAGGAUGACACUUCACUGUACCCUCAAGUCUUCUGGAGUGGCUGACUCCUUCCGCACCUUCUUUACAUGGGGUGGAACUACUCUGAAUUAUGAGAAGCGGCACGUGUGCUCGAAAAUGUACAUGGAACUGCAGUCGUGAAGCUGUACCUGUGACACAGGACACAAGAGAAUGUGCUCAUGUGAACACAAGUGAAGGACAUGGUGGGGACUUGCCACACAGUUUACAGUAUUUAUACCCACGGCACACUUGAAGGAAUUUUGGACAGCACGUUUACCAAAACAAAGAUGGAAUGCUGACGGGUAUGAAAUUUACUUUGUCUAAGACCAUUCUAAAUGACGCAUACAAAAAUAUAAGUUGGAGUGAAGGCAGUUCUCAUUUUCAAACUGUAAGGAUACCCACAGAUUUUUCUGAACACGUGAAAACCCUUGAUAGAAAGAAACAGGAGAGGAAGAAACAGCAAAAGCAAUGAUUUCACAUUGAGAAGAUCUGGAAAGAAUGAGGCAAGGUAGGAGACUUCCAAGUGGAGUGUGGUGUCAUCCUCCUUGAUUUAUUCUGGGAACACGUUGGAAAAGCCCUAUGGUCCUCACCCUUAAGCACGCUUAGCUUCUAAAGGUACCACAAAGAGAUGCCAGGUGGAAAACAGGGAAGCCCGUAGACUCAGGGGUAAAGGUUGUGCAUUUGGGGGGGAAAAAAAGACAGCACCCAUACCAUACGGCACUCAAACCAGAGACAGUGGCAGGAGAGUGUGCUGCACAGAAAGAUGCGGCUCUCUGGAAAGACCUAGAACUGAAAAUGCCACAGCAUUUACCUUAUGAUUCUUGGCAGUUUUGGUAGAGCCAGUGUUGAUGUCACUCUUGGGAGUGACACCUGCUUCUGGAUCUGCUAAAGGCCCUAGAAGGGAUGGAGGUUUAUUUUGAUUUGAGUAGACUGUUUAGAGAUCAAAAACAAAAACAAAAACAAAACUCUCCCUUCAUUCUUCUGACAACUUAAACUCUUUGCCCCAGUCAGAUCCCAAAUCAGAUGCAGAGGGUGUCCCACAUGCCUCAGGUGAUCCCCAAGAAGAACUUGAAGAACCAUCCCUUAUAACCUAAUGAAGACUCCUAAAAGCCCUGAUUCAGAUGUAUUCCUCACUCAUCGAACAACUAUAGAUGGCUGGGGGCACAACUAGAUGGACAUACGUUACGUUGUGCCUCAUGCCUCACAGAUCCCAGCAAAUGGACUGUGUAUAGGGCAUCACUGCUGAACCGCUCUGUCUGCUUUUCUGCGUACGGCCCCAUUCCUUCCCCACAAGAGACGCCUGUACCAACACAUGGUGGGGGAAAUGACAAAGAUGAUAUGUUGAGCAUGAGAAACUUGAGGAAUGUGGCAAUGGAAGCAGACACAUUCCCCUUGUAUCACAAUGGUCUGUGGCACUGCCCCUGCACCUUGGCCAAAGACCUAACACCAACAAAAAUAAGAUGAGUGUGUUUUACAACUCAACUUCUAGUGCUCAGAUCAUCUUACCAAGUGUUGCAGGUGGAGGGGUUUGGGGUGGCCCCAGGGCCACCAAGGUUCAGGAGGUGGAUGUGCCCAAUAGUCCAUGGGGGCGGGGCGCCUCUGGGGUAGGGUAUGCAAAAUCAUCCAGUUAACAGAGGAGAUCUCCAGGAUCCAGACUGCCCUGCAGAACAGAAGUGACAGCUACAUUCAUAUGCCAGACAAGAGAACAAAUAUCAAAACCAGAGAAGAAUGUGUUCGCACCUGCCGCCACCUCUGCCACCAGGAUCCAAGAGAGUAGCAUCUGUACCUGAAAGCUCCAUCCCUGCCACUGGAAACCACCUACAGCUUGGGGUAGUAGAUGCAAGAGGUUAACCUACUGCCACCACUCAUCACUGCCCAUGUCUGCAAAAGUAAAAUGGCAAGGGUCCUGUCCUAGAGGAUUAACAGAAGGAAUUACAGACUAAUGAAGUAGCAUUCUUUGGACAGGCAGCCAUCGAUGUCCAGGUUCACCCUGCAUCCCUCCUCUAUGGCGACUCGAGAUGCUCUGUUUUUGGUAUGUUAAGAACACAAAAAAAUGAGUGGGAAUAAAUGGCUCAUAUUCUGCUCACGGAAUCAUAGCUACUCCUGGCGAAAAGUUCUGCAGCUGGACCCUCACUUUGCCUCCUCUGCUUCUCUCCCUGAGAAAGGAGUCUUCCUUCCUGAAGUGUUGUCAAAGGCCUCUGAGACCUCUGGGGAGUGGAGGAUGCCUGGAAUCUUGCAGGGGAAUGAGAGUCUUCUGUGACAAAUAAGUUACUUAUGAAUGUCUACAAAGCUCAGAUGUGUUCAUCUUAAUUCAUAGGGAAUUCUGAUUUUGAGCAUACUACAGGACACAGAGUAAUUAUGCCCAACAGAAAAAAGGUAGAAAUUCACAUAACAGAUUUAAAGCAAGUAUUUUGAUAUAAAACUCCUGGUAUGUGUCAUGAGACUGUAUCAGCUCUAACAGUGACUGGGGACACAACCAGAAACUGCUCAUAUAAACAUAAUUGAAGGACAGUGUUCAAACUAUGUUUACCUAAGGUAUAGCUGGAAGGAUUCCAGACAACUCAUUUACCAACAAAUAUGGGAAGGUGAUACAUGAUGACACUGACUUUAUCUAAGACCACUCUAAAUGGUACAGGGCACAAAAUAUAAAGUUGAAGUCAUGAUGUCGUUUUGCACUUUUGAAUUUUAAACAAUAUGGCAGACUUUCUAACAGGUUAAUCUCCUAGCCAGAAUCAAGAAAGGAAGACACAGAAGCCACACUGUUCCCACAGAGGUGAGGUCUGGAAGGGGUCACCCAGCCCAGGAGACUUCUGUUUGGAGUGUGGAGUCAUCCUCCUCUCAUUAUUUCCAGAACCACAUGGAAAAACCUUAAGGCAGCCUCUUUGCUUCCAUCCUGUCCAGUCUUGGAUACAGAAAAAUAAUGGACUUCUAUAAGAGUUGCAACACCACGUCGUCUUCUAGACAACAAACAGUGUACGCAUCAUCCCUGGAAACACCCAUAAAAACGCAAGUCAAAUGACCACACCUGUAUUUCAAGUUUCCCAGGGUUGCAAAGACGAGGGCCAUGGAAUGGCACUACCAUGUUGAUGGUUAUGAUUCAUCGUACAACACACUGCUCUCCUAUAGAUUAUGACAAUUGACACCACCCCCAAGGACUGUUGGCAUGGACAAAGUUUCCACACAGUCUGGCUAUUGCUUGAGAUCUGCAAAUGUUUAAAAACCUAAUUGUUUUGUUCUUUCUAAAACUUACCUUUUUUAUCUGUUAAUAGUCUAUGCAUAUGAUCUCUGAAUUUUUUAUACUAAGUUGAGUCUAAACAUUGUAAAAAGGUUAAAAACAAAAAAAAUGAACAGAGGUUUCAUGA